UAGAGUUUGAUCAUGGCUCAGGAUGAACGCUAGCGACAGGCUUAACACAUGCAAGUCGAGGGGCAGCGGGUAGAUGAGCUUGCUCAUUUAUGCCGGCGACCGGCGCACGGGUGAGUAACACGUAUGCAACCUGCCCGUCUCAGGGGGAUAAUCGUCGGAAACGGCGUCUAAUACCCCGUAUGAAGCUGGACGGCAUCGUCUGGUUUUGAAAGAAUAUCGGAGACGGAUGGGCAUGCGGCGCAUUAGCUGGUUGGCGGGGUAACGGCCCACCAAGGCAACGAUGCGUAGGGGUUCUGAGAGGAAGGUCCCCCACACUGGUACUGAGACACGGACCAGACUCCUACGGGAGGCAGCAGUGAGGAAUAUUGGUCAAUGGGCGAGAGCCUGAACCAGCCAAGUCGCGUGAGGGAGUACUGCCCUAUGGGUUGUAAACCUCUUUUGUCGGGGAGCAAAAGCCGGACGUGUCCGUCUGUGAGAGUACCCGAAGAAAAAGCAUCGGCUAACUCCGUGCCAGCAGCCGCGGUAAUACGGAGGAUGCGAGCGUUAUCCGGAUUUAUUGGGUUUAAAGGGUGCGCAGGCGGAUUUUUAAGUCAGCGGUCAAAUCGUGGGGCUCAGCCCCAUCCAGCCGUUGAAACUGGGGAUCUAGAGUGUGCGAGAGGUAUGCGGAAUGCGUGGUGUAGCGGUGAAAUGCAUAGAUAUCACGCAGAACCCCGAUUGCGAAGGCAGCAUACCGGUGCACAACUGACGCUGAAGCACGAAAGCGUGGGUAUCGAACAGGAUUAGAUACCCUGGUAGUCCACGCAGUAAACGAUGAAUACUAGCUGUCCGGGGCGAAUGAGCCCUGGGUGGCACAGCGAAAGCGUUAAGUAUUCCACCUGGGGAGUACGCCGGC
rnacentral:rRNA from 1 species